GCACGAGAAAGGGGAGCAAUCCCUGAGUACAGUGGCGUACGGGUGAGUAACACGUGGAUGAUCUACCUUCUAGUGGGGAAUAACCAUGGGAAACCGUGGCUAAUACCGCAUAAGCUCGAGAGAGGAAAGCAGCAAUGCGCUGGAAGAGGAGUCCGCGGCCGAUUAGCUAGUUGGCAGGGUAAAAGCCUACCAAGGCAGAGAUCGGUAGCCGGCCUGAGAGGGCACACGGCCACACUGGCACUGAAACACGGGCCAGACUCCUACGGGAGGCAGCAGUGGGGAAUCUUGCACAAUGGGGGAAACCCUGAUGCAGCGACGCCGCGUGAGCGAUGAAGCCCUUCGGGGUGUAAAGCUCUUUCGGCAGGGAAGAUGAUGACGGUACCUGCAGAAGCAGCUGCGGCUAACUACGUGCCAGCAGCCGCGGUAAUACGUAGGCAGCGAGCGUUGUUCGGAGUUACUGGGCGUAAAGGGUGUGUAGGCGGUUGUUUAAGUUUGGUGUGAAAUCUCCCGGCUCAACUGGAAGGGUGCGCCGAAUACUGAAUGACUUGGAGUGCGGGAGAGGUGAGUGGAAUUCCUGGUGUAGCGGUGAAAUGCGUAGAUAUCAGGAGGAACACCGGUGGUGUAGACGGCUCACUGGACCGUAACUGACGCUGAGACACGAAAGCGUGGGUAGCAAAC
rnacentral:rRNA from 1 species